UGUUUUAGAAAACACAAUGUUUUGAAAUCGUGUUCAGAAAACAUUCGUAUUUCAUUUCAAUAGCUCGCGCAAUACAAAUCUACGCAACUCUAUCAACAGUAUUGAAUCGAAUCGAGAACGCGCUAUAUCCAUAAAUGGACGAGUAAGGCAGACCUGAUGAUUGGCAUAGGCUUGUCAAGAGAAGACACCAAACUAUCAACUGUGACUGCUCUAUUAAGAACACACUUGAGAAGAAAGUUGAAAUAUAGAGUUGCAAAACCAUGAUUUCACCGAGAGAGACAAUAUUGUAUAACGUAAGAGAAAAACAUUAUUUUUAAAUUCAAUGUAUGUAUAUCUUCAAUUCUUCGCUGUUUCCCUUCAUAGAAUAUAAGUCGCGCCUCUCUCUUAUUUAUUAAGUAAAGUUCACUACAACUUACUGCUACAUGUACAGUAGAUAUAUGGUAUACAAAAGUGUUAAAAAAAAUGAUGUAUUAAUAUUACACUUCCAAUUUUAGAUUACACUAGUAUUGUGGUGGUUGGUGAUUAGGUAUCAGAUAGGCAUUUGAUGCUUUGCUUUUAAAUUGAUAAGCGCACUUCGGAAUACAUCAAUCUCUGGAUAUGUAAUGUUUAUUAUAUUCACAAAUAAAUCGAGUGAAAGGUGCCUACAUUUCCAAAACCAACCUCUCCUAGGCUGGUUUUUCCAGAUGGGAUUUGGAAAUCUCUGCUGAUUUUAAACCAGGAAUGAAAAAAUGACAACAAUGUUAAUGUUCUGUAAAAUGAUACCAUUCUGUAUUUGACCAUUUAUCAUAUUUUGACUUCUCUGACCUGUUUUUUAACCCACACCCACACCAGAAUCUAAACCCAAAAAAGUAUUGAUGACA